GAUACCCGCUCCAUAAUAUUUGUUGCUUGAUUUGUUAAGAGGUGCAAGCGAAUUGAAUGGGUGGUCAGUCCUGUCUUUACUCAUUGAUAUCUUGUACUUGAGCAUUAUUUAGUUGCUUGUCCAUGCCCCUUCUGUACAUACAAUAGUUGAUAUAGUCGUACCAAUCUGACUUAAAUUGUAAAUUUGUAGAUUCCAGCCCUUUUCUCAAGCACCUGUUGUCAUAUAAUGUUUAUUUCACAUCUUACUGAAUCUGAUAUUGGAUUUUUCAGUUCUAACAGACUCUUCAACAAAUUAGUUGACAAUGAAAUGACCUUUUUCUCACCUUGUAAUUUCCCAUUGUUCUGCCUUCGCCUCAAUUUGCAACUGUUUCCACUUGGUAUCAUACAGAGGGCAUCUUUUACAAUAACCAUUGGCUAUUGGCUGCUGAUGGAAGAAGGCGAAAGUAAAAUGUGAAAGCAAAUGGACAUUUGGGAUUUUACAUGUCUCAAAGCCACGAUGCUCUGACGUGGGAAAAACAAUUCAAUUUCUACAUGAGGUACAUUCCUAUAGAUUAAUCUCUU